rfam:Oryza sativa (indica cultivar-group) chromosome 3, whole genome shotgun sequence.
AAUAAAUACAGCCGUGAGUUUCCGCGCCCAACUUUGAUCGUUCGUUUUAUUUGAAAUUUUUUUAUAAUUAGCAUUUUUGUUGUUAUAAGAUGAUAAAAUAUGAAUAAUACUUUACUUGUGACUUAUAUUUUUAUUUUUUUUAAAAAAAAUUUUCAAAUAAGACGAAUGGUCAAAGUUGGGCGCUGAAAACUAUGGCUGCACUUAUU